AUGGAUAAGCUAAUAAGGGCGCACGGAGGAUGCCUAGGCGCUAGGAGCCGAUGAAGGACGUGGCGAACUACGAAAAUGCCUCGGGGAGCCGUAAGCAGGCUUCGAUCCGAGGAUGUCCGAAUGGGGAAACCCACGCAGAGUAAUAUCUGCGUACCCAUUCCUGAAUACAUAGGGAUUGUGGAGGCAUACCCAGGGAACUGAAACAUCUAAGUACCUGGAGGAAAAGAAAACAAUUGUGAUUCCGUCAGUAGCGGCGAGCGAAUGCGGAACAGCCCAAACCGAUCCCUUCGGGGAUCGGGGUUGUAGGACGUCAACAUGGCAAAAGCAGGUUAGGCGAAGCGGUCUGGAAAGGCCGGCCACAGAAGGUAAAAGCCCUGUAACCGAAAGCUUGCGUAUGCCUAGACGGAUCCUGAGUACGGCGGGGCACGGGAAACCCCGUCGG
rnacentral:rRNA from 1 species